GGGGCUAUAGCUCAGCUGGGAGAGCGCUUGCAUGGCAUGCAAGAGGAUCAGCGGUUCGAUCCCGCUUAGCUCCACCA
rnacentral:tRNA from 1 species